rnacentral:rRNA from 1 species
UAAAUACUAAUACCAGAUCGAUAGUGCACAAGUACCGUGAGGGAAAGGUGAAAAGAACUGAGGUGAUCAGAGUGAAAUAGAACCUGAAACCAUUUGCUUACAAUCAUUCAGAGCCCUAUGUAGCAAUACAGGGUGAUGGACUGCCUUUUGCAUAAUGAGCCUGCGAGUUGUGGUGUCUGGCAAGGUUAAGCAAACGCGAAGCCGUAGCGAAAGCGAGUCUGAAUAGGGCGCUUAGUCAGAUGCUGCAGACCCGAAACGAAGUGAUCUAUCCAUGAGCAAGUUGAAGCUAGUGUAAGAACUAGUGGAGGACUGAACCCAUAGGCGUUGAAAAGCCCCGGGAUGACUUGUGGAUAGGGGUGAAAGGCCAAUCAAACUUCGUGAUAGCUGGUUCUCUCCGAAAUAUAUUUAGGUAUAGCGUUGUGUCGUAAUAUAAGGGGGUAGAGCACUGAAUGGGCUAGGGCAUACACCAAUGUACCAAACCCUAUCAAACUCCGAAUACCUUAUAUGUAAUCACAGCAGUCAGGCGGCGAGUGAUAAAAUCCGUCGUCAAGAGGGAAACAACCCAGACUACCAGCUAAGGUCCCUAAAUCUUACUUAAGUGGAAAACGAUGUGAAGUUACUUAAACAACCAGGAGGUUGGCUUAGAAGCAGCCAUCCUUUAAAGAAAGCGUAAUAGCUCACUGGUCUAGUGAUUUUGCGCGGAAAAUAUAACGGGGCUAAAGUAAGUACCGAAGCUGUAGACUUAGUUUACUAAGUGGUAGGAGAGCGUUCUAUUUGCGUCGAAGGUAUACCGGUAAGGAGUGCUGGAGCGAAUAGAAGUGAGCAUGCAGGCAUGAGUAGCGAUAAUUAAUGUGAGAAUCAUUAACGCCGUAAACCCAAGGUUUCCUACGCGAUGCUCGUCAUCGUAGGGUUAGUCGGGUCCUAAGUCGAGUCCGAAAGGGGUAGACGAUGGCAAAUUGGUUAAUAUUCCAAUACCAACAUUAGUGUGCGAUGGAAGGACGCUUAGGGCUAAGGGGGCUAGCGGAUGGAAGUGCU